rnacentral:rRNA from 1 species
CAGUAGCCGCGGUAAUACGGAGGGGGCUAGCGUUGUUCGGAAUUACUGGGCGUAAAGCGUACGUAGGCGGCUUUGUAAGUUAGAGGUGAAAGCCUGGAGCUCAACUCCAGAAUUGCCUUUAAGACUGCCUAGCUAGUAGGUGAGAGAGGUAAGUGGAAUUCCGAGUGUAGAGGUGAAAUUCGUAGAUAUUCGGAAGAACACCAGUGGCGAAGGCGGCUUACUGGCUCAUUCUAGACGCUGAGGCACGAAAGCGUGGGGAGCAAACAGGAUUAGAGACCCCCGUAGUCCCUGUCUCUUAUAC